ensembl:lincRNA
GAAUUCCUUUUGUACUAUUGCUCAUUCGCUUUUGUUAAUCAAAGCCUUUGAAUCCUGAAGAGCAGAAAUUCUCUCUAAACAGAAAGAUGGAAACUAAAGCACAUUUAUUCUUCCAGGCAGAAGAAAAUAUUGACUUAUUAGAUAAGGGAUCUAAUUCUUUCACAACCAUCUUGCCAUCAAGAAAUACUGCAAACAAGAAAUACAUCAAAUUUUCUAAAACAAUUGAGAAGAAAAAUUCAUCUGAAAUUAAGAAUUUGAGCCUAGAAUGCAAGAAAAAGUAUGAAGCCUCACUAUUCAUAUGUAGAGAAGAAAAAUCUGAGUUUUCAGGAGAAAAAAAAGUCCGGAGAAAGAAAAGUUUGCAAGUUCAUCUGCAUAGUAAAAGAACUGAAGUAAAUAAGGAUUUGGAAAAUGUACUUUUACCUCAGCCUGGAGUUGAGAAAGGGAAACCAUUUAGUCUUUCAGUGGGGCCUGGAGUUGAGAAAGGGAAACCCUUUAGUCUUUCAGUGGGGCCUGGAGUUAAGAAAGAGAAACCAUAUAGUCUUUCAGUGGGGGUCGCCCCUCCCUCUGUGAAGCUGCCCAAGGAGAUAGCUAGGAAAGAAAGCCUUUUGUGCAAGUUGCCAAAGCAAUACAACAUUCAGAGGACUUCAUUACCUCUUCGUAUAUCUUCAAUUUUUCGGAAAAAGGAAAUGCCUUCUAACCUCUACCUCACAUUGUAUGAAGAAGUACCCCAUGGAUAUUUAUACGCAGAAGAAUUAAGUGUUAAUGGAAUGCUGGAUUUUUCAGAUUUCCUUAAGACUCUGAAUGAUGGCUCUUAUUUGGUCUCCCAGGAUCCAGUAUUCCAGGAUAAUUUGAAGAUUUUUCGUAGUAUAAAAGGUGGCCGAGUUGCCACUGAUGAAUUGGUGGCUGUUUUGGAUAGCAUGGGCAUCCCUAUAAAUUUUGAAACAUUUCAGGAAGUGAUAAAACAUACAUAUAUUGACAGUAACCACAUGGUGGAUAUUGGAGAUAUUGUAUUUCUUUUGGACGCACUACAGAGCCAGUAUGAAGACAUUUGUAAGGGAGCUCUUGUUGCCAUAGUAAAUCUUGUUUAUAAGUAAAUUCUCAAUUAAAUUCUAAUUUAUAGAUUUUAUCAAAAAGUUUUAACAAAAAAUUUUAAAAGUGUUGUUUGAAAACCUCUCUCUGGGCCGGGGAUAUAGCUCAGCUGCACAAGUGCCUGCCUGGCAAGCACAAGGUCCUGAGUUGAUUCCUGGUACCUAAAAAAAAAAAAAAAAAAAGAAAGAAAGAAAACCUCUCUCUAACUCUUAAAUGAGGGAAAUAAAAUUUUAAUAUAAUACCUAAGAAUAUCUUCUUGAUAUUAAGAACUCACUAUGUAGCCCAGGCUGGCGUCAUUAUAUAAUGACAGUCUCAUAAUUUUCUUUUAUCUUACCCUGAUACAUUGCAGCAUAAAGUCAACUUUAAAAUAAAAUAGCUAUACCAAACAAUGAUAAUAUUUAAUUUAUGGUUUGUAGGGCAUUCUGACAUCCUGAUAUUGAUCCUUUUAACAUUUUAAAACAUUUUUUUAGUAUAUUCUUUGCUAUCAUCCAUUGUUUUUAGUUUUUCUUUAUUAAGUACUAUAUGUUGCUUUUCAUCCCUUCUUACUGCACUUUGUGUUAUUCCUUAUAGUUUUCCUCAUUUGUCUAAAUACCAUUUGAAUAAGAUUACCUAUGCCCAGAUUUUAAGAAUUAUGUUUUAUGAGGCUUGUUAUAAUAAAAGAAACUGUCCUAGAAUUUCCCUCCAGCUUUUCCAGAGGCAAUAUUUAAAGUUUUAGCUGAUUCAUAUUUAUAUUUGCAACAUGUAUAUCUAUCUAUCUAUCUAUCUAUAUCUAUCUAUCUAUCUAUAUAUAUAUAUAUAUAUAUAUUUGUUUUAGUUUUUUGAGACAGGGUCUCACUCUGUAGUCCAGGCUGGCCUUGAACUCACUAUGUAGUCCAGGCUGGCCUUGAAUUCACUGCAGUCCUCCUGCCUCAGCCUCCGAAGUGCUGAGGCUACAGGCAUGCACCACCACACCUGGCUUAUAUUGUUAAUUGUUGAUUUCCUAAAUAAAAAAAUAAUUGACAUAAUAAUUAUAUAUAUUUAUAUGUUUAGUUGAUGGCUUGAUACUUGCUACAAUAUGUAAUAAUUGGUCAGGGUAAUUAGUAUUCCCAUCUUUAACAUUUAUCAUUUUGUUGUUCUUUUUACUAAUGUUUGAUUUUUUUCUCAUUGUUUCUUUUAUUUGUUUAUAUUUGCAAUUCAUGUUAAUUAUAUUCAUUUUGUGGAAUUCAUAUAUACAUCUUGUUUAUUUGUCUGGUUUGUCAUAAAGAUGUAUAUUUAUUACUGGUUUUACCCAAAACACUGUGAAAUGUCUGAGUCCCAAUUUAUAAAAUUGGUGGCACCAGGUGUUCUAGUCUUCCUGAAGGAAUUUUCCAUAGAGUACUCUGGCUGAUUUAGAAACUGAUACAUUGCAUAUGGAAGAACUAAUAUGGAUUUUAUUGCCCUGUAUAUUUUGUCAUUCCGGGAUCCUCAUUUACUUACAUUUGAGACUCUUCUCCCAUAUCAGGGCCUGUCCUCAUGUUUGGCUGAUAGAUUUGCAUAGAAUUCUAAAUUGGAGAUAAGUUUCCCUCUGAAUUUUUAAUUUCCUAGUUUUCAUUAUUGUUGAAAUCCAAAUUUCUGCUAAUU